AACGAACGCUGGCGGCAGGCUUAACACAUGCAAGUCGAGCGCCCCGCAAGGGGUGCGGCCGACGGGUGAGUAACGCGUGGGAACGUACCUUUUGGUUCGGAACAACUCCGGGAAACUGGAGCUAAUACCGGAUAAGCCCUAACGGGGAAAGAUUUAUCGCCGAAAGAGCGGCCCGCGUCUGAUUAGCUAGUUGGUGAGGUAACGGCGCACCAAGGCGACGAUCAGUAGAUGGUCUGAGAGGAUGAUCAGCCACACUGGGACUGAGACACGGCCCAGACUCCUACGGGAGGCAGCAGUGGGGAAUAUUGGACAAUGGGCGCAAGCCUGAUCCAGCCAUGCCGCGUGAGUGAUGAAGGCCUUAGGGUUGUAAAGCUCUUUUGUCCGGGAAGAUAAUGACUGUACCGGAAGAAUAAGCCCCGGCUAACUUCGUG
rnacentral:rRNA from 1 species